GGAUAUAUUGCUCAGUUGGUAGAGCACAAGGCUCUUAACCUUAUGGACGUGGGUUCGAGCCCCAUGGUGGGGG
rnacentral:tRNA from 1 species